AUCAAAGAUGUUAUUUAGUGUUUUAAACUUCCGGAUUUUUACACUCGACUUGCAUGCCCUAGAUUUUGUUUCAUUAUAGUUAUAUAUUUGUGCAUUCAUUGAUCAAUGGCACAUCUUAGAUGAGCUCUGGUUGAAUUGCCAAUCAGCUGUCAGUGGAUGUUAACCAAAGAGGUGUGACUUAGUGCACAAAGCAUCUCAGACUUGUGGGUAUUUUGGACAGUUGUACUGGUAGUUCAAAAAUUACAGAAUGCAAUGUAGGAGUAAAUAAGUCGGUACUCAGUAGAACAAGAGGC
rnacentral:misc_RNA from 1 species